rnacentral:rRNA from 1 species
GAUGAACGCUGGCGGCGUGCCUAAUACAUGCAAGUCGAGCGAAUGGAUUAAGAGCUUGCUCUUAUGAAGUUAGCGGCGGACGGGUGAGUAACACGUGGGUAACCUGCCCAUAAGACUGGGAUAACUCCGGGAAACCGGGGCUAAUACCGGAUAACAUUUUGAACCGCAUGGUUCGAAAUUGAAAGGCGGCUUCGGCUGUCACUUAUGGAUGGACCCGCGUCGCAUUAGCUAGUUGGUGAGGUAACGGCUCACCAAGGCAACGAUGCGUAGCCGGCCUGAGAGGGUGCUCGGCCACACUGGGACUGAGACACGGCCCAGACUCCUACGGGAGGCAGCAGUAGGGAAUCUUCCGCAAUGGACGAAAGGCGGACGGAGCAACGCCGCGUGAGUGAUGAAGGCUUUCGGGUCGUAAAACUCUGUUGUUAGGGAAGAACAAGUGCUGGUUGAAUAAGCUGGCACCUUGACGGUACCUGACCAGAAAGCCACGGCUAACUACGUGCCAGCCGCCGCGGUAA